rnacentral:rRNA from 1 species
AAAUUGAAGAGUUUGAUCAUGGCUCAGAUUGAACGCUGGCGGCAGGCCUAACACAUGCAAGUCGAACGGUAACAGGAAGCAGCUUGCUGCUUUGCUGGCGAGUGGCGGACGGGUGAGUAAUGUCUGGGAAACUGCCUGAUGGAGGGGGAUAACUACUGGAAACGGUGGCUAAUACCGCAUAACGUCGCAAGACCAAAGAGGGGGACCUUCGGGCCUCUUGCCAUCAGAUGUGCCCAGAUGGGAUUAGCU